rnacentral:tRNA from 1 species
GUCUCGUUGGUGUAGUUGGUUAUCACGUGGGUCUCAUAGCUUCCUCACUAUGACUGCUAGUCACUAGUAGAUAUCCCAAGGCCGCCAGUUCGAGUCUGGCACGGGACA